CCCCUAGUAACUGCGAGUGAAGCGGGAAAAGCUCAAAUUUAAAAUCUGGCGGUUUCACCGUCCGAGUUGUAAUUUAGAGAAGUGUUAUCCGCGCUGGACCGUGUACAAGUCUCCUGGAAUGGAGCGUCAUAGAGGGUGAGAAUCCCGUCUUUGACACGGACUACCAGGGCAUUGUGAUACGCUCUCAAAGAGUCGAGUUGUUUGGGAUUGCAGCUCAAAAUGGGUGGUAAAUUCCAUCUAAAGCUAAAUAUUGGGGAGAGACCGAUAGCGAACAAGUACCGUGAGGGAAAGAUGAAAAGAACUUUGGAAAGAGAGUUAAACAGUACGUGAAAUUGCUGAAAGGGAAACGCUUGAAGUCAGUCGCGUUGUUCGGGAUUCAGCUUUAGCUUCUGCUAGGUGGAUUUCCUGUUCGACGGGUCAGCAUCAGUUUUGGCCAGUGGAUAAAGGUUCAGAGAAUGUGGCAUCCUCGGAUGUGUUAUAGCUCUGGGUCGCAUACAUUGGCUGGGACUGAGGAACUCAGCACGCCGCAAGGCCAGGUUCGACC
rnacentral:rRNA from 1 species